GGAUCUGUGGUGUAGUGGUUAUCACGUAUCGUUCACAAAUGAGUGAGCAUCUUUCCGAUAAGGUCCCCGGUUCGAGCCCGGGCAGAUUCA
rfam:Valsa mali strain 03-8 chromosome 4, whole genome shotgun sequence.